GAGAAGAACGCAGCGAAAUGCGAUACGUAAUGUGAAUUGCAGAAUUCAGUGAAUCAUCGAAUCUUUGAACGCAUAUUGCGCUCUCUGGUAUUCCGGAGAGCAUGCUUGUUUGAGUAUCAGUAAACACCUCAACUUCCAUAUCUUUUUUGAAAUGGGAGUUGGACUUGAGUGAUCCCAACGCUUUUCCUCACCGAAAAGUGGCGGGUUACUUGAAAUGCAGGUGCAGCUGGACUUUUCUCUGAGCUAUAAGCAUAUCUAUUUAGUCUGCCUAAAAAACAGAUUAUUACCUUUGCUGCAGCUAACAUAAAGGAGAUUAGUUCUUGUGCUGACUGAUGCAGGAUUCACAAAGACGGCUUCGGCCGACUUUGUAAACUCGAUCUCAAAUCAAGUAAGACUACCCGCUGAACUUAAGCAUAUCAAUAAGCGGAGGA
rnacentral:misc_RNA from 1 species